UUAAGAAUAGUAUAAAGUGUACACAAAGUUUUGGUCUUUGAGGUGAAGGUAAUACCUUCUUUUUGAA
rnacentral:tRNA from 1 species